ACCCGCUGAACUUAAGCAUAUCAAUAAGCGGAGGAAAAGAAACCAACAGGGAUUGCCCUAGUAACGGCGAGUGAAGCGGCAACAGCUCAAAUUUGAAAUCUGGCGUCUUUGGCGUCCGAGUUGUAAUUUGCAGAGGGCGCUUUGGCAUUGGCAGCGGUCCAAGUUCCUUGGAACAGGACGUCACAGAGGGUGAGAAUCCCGUACGUGGUCGCUAGCCUUUACCGUGUAAAGCCCCUUCGACGAGUCGAGUUGUUUGGGAAUGCAGCUCUAAAUGGGAGGUAAAUUUCUUCUAAAGCUAAAUACUGGCCAGAGACCGAUAGCGCACAAGUAGAGUGAUCGAAAGAUGAAAAGCACUUUGGAAAGAGAGUUAAAAAGCACGUGAAAUUGUUGAAAGGGAAGCGCUUGCAGCCAGACUUGCCUGUAGUUGCUCAUCCGGGUUUUUACCCGGUGCACUCUUCUAUAGGCAGGCCAGCAUCAGUUUGGGCGGUUGGAUAAAGGUCUCUGUCAUGUACCUCUCUUCGGGGAGAGCUUAUAGGGGAGACGACAUGCAACCAGCCCGGACUGAGGUCCGCGCAUCUGCUAGGAUGCUGGCGUAAUGGCUGU
rnacentral:rRNA from 1 species